rnacentral:rRNA from 1 species
CCUACGGGUGGCAGCAGUGGGGAAUAUUGCACAAUGGGCGCAAGCCUGAUGCAGCCAUGCCGCGUGUGUGAAGAAGGCCUUCGGGUUGUAAAGCACUUUCAGCGGGGAGGAAGGCGGUGAGGUUAAUAACCUCAUCGAUUGACGUUACCCGCAGAAGAAGCACGGGCUAACUCCGUGCCAGCAGCCGCGGUAAUACGGAGGGUGCAAGCGUUAAUCGGAAUUACUGGGCGUAAAGCGCACGCAGGCGGUCUGUCAAGUCGGAUGUGAAAUCCCCGGGCUCAACCUGGGAACUGCAUUCGAAACUGGCAGGCUAGAGUCUUGUAGAGGGGGGUAGAAUUCCCGGUGUAGCGGUGAAAUGCGUAGAGAUCUGGAGGAAUACCGGUGGCGAAGGCGGCCCCCUGGACAAAGACUGACGCUCAGGUGCGAAAGCGUGGGGAGCAAACAGGAUUAGAUACCCGUGUAGUC